AUGGAGAAGGACAAAACCAAUGUCCCAAGCUUUGUGAACCCCAACCAAUUCGGAGCUCCUGGAAAUGUUCUGCAAUGCGGUCAACUACCAGUUAUCGUAAAGAGGAUCAGGAAGAGACCAUUGAAGAUCAUUUCUCCAUUUAAAUUACAUCCUGUUAAGUCUACCAUUUCUCUCAACCACGCCCGAAAACUCCGUGACAUAGUAAUCAACGACCUUGAUCUCAAAAAGACUGGACUUCUUGCUUACGAACCUUCUAAGUUAUAUCUUACUGGCAUGGAUCUCGCAAAAAGCUUCGGCGAUGGGGCAUCAAUGCUACCCAGCUUGAUGGAAUACUACAUAGACAUUCUGCGUCACGAUGAGAUUAAAUUAAGGCCCACGUCGGCUGGGUACAGGAUGUUCCUUCGUUGGUCACUAUCGUUCCACCUUAAUGUCGAUGCUCGGCACGAGACGCAAUCCUUCAAUCCUACUUUCAUUGAGGCACUAUUAAAGGAAGACCUCGCGGAUAAAGACCCUCAAGAUGUUCGCAUGAUAUUAUGGGUAUCCCAUCAGGGCAGUCAUUUCUCAGUUUAUUGUGUGAAUCGUGUUCACAGACGGAUUGACAUCCUCGAUUCAGUUGACUGGAGCACACAACAGACUACAUUUGAGGAUUUUCAUAAGCCGUGGGGUCCUAUUGCUGUCGCCAGACUCAAUGAUGCUUUUUUAAAAGUUACUGAGGGGAAGUUCGACAACUUCUGCAAGUGGCCUAUUGCUAGAUUUCCAACCCCCAAACAACUUGCCAACGACUGUCCUUUCUUCUGUUUCAAAUUCCUGAAAUUUUAUGAUGGCGAGGAGAAUCAAUUACGAAUCAAAAUCGACCCAGAGAAGUUUAGUGAUUACAGGUCGGAGGAGCUUGCAUACAUGGUGUUCCAUGAAUUGAAUUUAUUUCGUCAGCUACCACCUCAAAUUGAAGUUUUGAGGAAGGCUAUUACAAAAGCAUAA
rnacentral:rRNA from 1 species